rnacentral:lncRNA from 1 species
GUAUGUGUUCCAAAAUUAUGAGAAACCCCUGUAAUUCUGAUAUGACUUGGUAUAUGUUUUGAGGAAUAAAUAUAAUUGUUAUGUUAAAUUGUUGUGUACCACAGAAGUAACCAAAUUUUCUUAUCAAUUUUGUCUUUGAUUGUGACUGCCCUAAGACUUCUUGUCAUCCAUAGACAAUUGUUUUCUUAUUUUGAUCCUCCUUCAAAAGACAGUUUAUAAUUAGCGAUACCACUCUCAUGAGUACUCCUAAACAUAGUCUGUGAUAAUUUUGGAAAGUGUGCUAUUAAAAUAAAGAGGAAAGAACUUCCAAGAUUCUCUUGGAAAACGAAUGUGUUCACAAAUGUCGAGCAAAACAGGAAUUAACUGCAUAGGCUAAACUAAUAAAAGGCCAAAGUAAUCUUUUUAUGACUUUUUGUUUAAAACAUUGCUGAUCCUUUCUGUUUUGGUUUUCAGAGUCAAGAAAACUUUUUUCUUUUUAGCUAUUUAUGGCUUUUAGCAGUUAAGUAAAGUAUACUCCUAUAAAUAAAUUUUGGAGCAUAUCUCUCUCCACCUGAUUUUUCCAGAAUUUGGAAACUAUUUGUGAGUAUUUGUAUGAUGAUAUAGUUAUUUGCAAAAGUACAAUAAGAAUCUGUUUUCUUUUGUAAUAGGACACAAUUGGAGAAAUUGUUUUUGUUUUUUUUCUUACCAAGGCUUUGACUGGAAUGGCAUGCUUUCACAUAUAAACAUCCUGCUCUAAGGAAUCAAAGUUGACUUAUAGAGCUAAUAAAAGCCCCUUGGAAAAACUAGCUUCAUACCUUGCCUAUGCAUUCCCUGUACAGGAUUCUUGACCUGUGGCUAGAGGUGAACACUUAACCAUGAGUAGAAGCUCUGGAGAUGAAAAAGUAUUAGAAAAACACAGAUAACAAAGAAUCAACAGAGCGCUUGGAUAUUUAUGUUCAUGGCAUGUGUAUAUAUUUUACAUGUAUCAAGAUUAAGACAAAAAGGUUGCCCCCUUCAGCAUGUCGAGUCAUGUGAGGGUGGCUACCCUCUGGGGCUGCAGCUUUCUCACUUUGGAAGACUUAUGAGUUUUUUCCUGUGCCCUGUACAGUGAAGAACAAAGAAACUAGUGACAGUUUGAUGAGAAACAGAUAUACACAUAGCUUCAAAGAAUCUCUCCAUAAAGUACUUAUUCAUUAUAAAAGGAAAAAAAUAAUUUCAUAGGGAAGAAACCUGGUGGAUGACAUCUUAAUCAAGUGAUCAAAGUUACCACCACGACUAAUGACACAAACCAACAUUAUAUGCCUCCUGAUGUGAUGUGACAUGCUAGAAAGAAAACAACAUCAUUUAUACGGUAUUUCUGCCAGAGAAACAUAAUCUGCAUUUUCAUGUUAAAGUGAAGUCGAUUAUACAUAGCAUUGUUAAAAGUGAUUUUGGAGUUUUUCUCUUCAUACAAUUUUAAGGUUGUAAAGUUGACAGUCUGUUUUUAAUUCACUUUUACAAGUUGUAAAUGUUUUGCAAAUAUGUUUCUUUCCUGUAAGAUUUAUUUCUUAGCUGGUUAACCUAGACAAAUUGAUUUCCCAGAGGUUACUUUGUUUAAUGUUAUGGUACCUAUACACUAAAUAAUCUAUAAGGAUAAGACAAUAUACUUUGAUGUUUAUUUUACAUAUUUAUAAACAUUUUUGACUCAAAUUAUGAAAAAGUUUUUCCUAAAAUUUUCUAGUGGAUGUGCUGUCUCUUAACAUUCUCCUUAGCUGUCAAUUGAUUUCCUUGUUUAACUAUUUUAAAGUUCUUUAUAAUAGUUGUUAUUCAUAAAUCAAGUGCUUUUACUCUUACAAUAAAAAUAUACACUUAUAUUUCCACUCACAAUGCACUUAAAGAAAACUUUCAGUCCUGGUUACAUUUAAAAUAGUUACCUACAUUUAUUUUAUAUUGACAAUAUCUGAAUCAAAAACCCACUGAUAGCAUCUACUAAAGCUGAACAUUCACACAUUGCAUGAAAUAGGAAAGGAGGGCUUAUGUCCUCCAAUAGGUGUGUUCAUAGCAGUUUAGUAUAAAAUCCCCAAACUGCCUAUCAACAGUAGUGUCUCUCAAUAGGAGAAUGUAUAAGGACAUUUUAGUAUACUUAUACAAUCAAGCAGUGGAAAAAAAUAAACUAUUGCUUUAUGCACCAACAUGGAUAAAUAUCACAGACCUAUUGAUAAAUGAAAGAAGUCAGAAAUGAAAAGGCUGAAAAUUGUAUGAGCCAUGUAUGUGAAAAUCAAGAACAGACAAAACCAAUCUACAGUGACAGAUGUCAGAAUGAUGGUUACCUUUAGAGUUUAUUGAGUGCAAGAAUAUGGGUGUAGCCUUCUGGGAUGUUGAAAAUAUUCUCUAUGUUGAUUUGGGUAUGGCUUAAAAGGAUUUAUGCAUGUCUAGAAAGUUAUCAAGCUGUGCAAUUAAGACCUAUGUAUUUUAUUAUAUGUAAUCUAUACCA